rnacentral:misc_RNA from 1 species
UCCGAGUUGACCCCGGCAGUCUCCCAUGAGUCCCCGCCAUUACGCGCUGGCAACAUGGAACGAGGGUUGCGCUCGUUGCGGGACUUAACCCAACAUCUCACGACACGAGCUGACGACAACCAUGCACCACCUGUGAACCGGCCCCAAAGGGGAAACCACAUCUCUCGAGCCCACACGUCCCAUGUCAAGGGCUGGUAAGGUUCUGCGCGUCGCUUCGAAUUAAACCACAUGCUCCACCGCUUGUGCGGGCCCCCGUCAAUUCCUUUGAGUUUUAGCCUUGCGGCCGUACUCCCCAGGCGGGGCGCUUAAUGCGUUAGCUGCGGCACGGAGAACAAUGAAGCCCCCCACACCUAGCGCCCAACGUUUACAGCGUGGACUAC